rnacentral:rRNA from 1 species
UACGGAGGGUGCAAGCGUUGUUCGGAAUUACUGGGCGUAAAGGGCGCGUAGGCGGCCUUCUAAGUCGAACGUGAAAUCCCCGGGCUCAACCCGGGAACUGCGUCCGAUACUGGAAGGCUUGAAUCCGGGAGAGGGAUGCGGAAUUCCAGGUGUAGCGGUGAAAUGCGUAGAUAUCUGGAGGAACACCGGCGGCGAAGGCGGCAUCCUGGACCGGCAUUGACGCUGAGGCGCGAAAGCCAGGGGAGCAAACGGG